UACGUAGGGUCCGAGCGUUGUCCGGAAUUACUGGGCGUAAAGAGCUCGUAGGUGGUUUGUCGCGUUGUUCGUGAAAACUCACAGCUCAACUGUGGGCGUGCGGGCGAUACGGGCAGACUUGAGUACUGCAGGGGAGACUGGAAUUCCUGGUGUAGCGGUGGAAUGCGUAGAUAUCUGGAGGAACACCGGUGGCGAAGGCGGCAUCCUGGACCAAUAUUGACGCUGAGGAGCGAAAGCUAGGGGAGCAAACGGG
rnacentral:rRNA from 1 species